rnacentral:rRNA from 1 species
CCUACGGGGGGCUGCAGUGGGGAAUAUUGGACAAUGGGGGCAUCCCUGAUCCAGCCAUGCCGCGUGUGUGAAGAAGGCCCUCGGGUUGUAAAGCACUUUCAGUGAGGAAGAACGCCUGGUGGUUAAUACCCAUCAGGAAAGACAUCACUCACAGAAGAAGCACCGGCUAACUCCGUGCCAGCAGCCGCGGUAAUACGGAGGGUGCGAGCGUUAAUCGGAAUUACUGGGCGUAAAGCGCGCGUAGGUGGCUUGAUAAGCCGGUUGUGAAAGCCCCGGGCUCAACCUGGGAACGGCAUCCGGAACUGUCAAGCUAGAGUGCAGGAGAGGAAGGUAGAAUUCCCGGUGUAGCGGUGAAAUGCGUAGAGAUCGGGAGGAAUACCAGUGGCGAAGGCGGCCUUCUGGACUGACACUGACACUGAGGUGCGAAAGCGUGGGUAGCAAACAGGAUUAGAUACCCGUGUAGUC